rnacentral:rRNA from 1 species
UACGUAGGCAGCGAGCGUUGUUCGGAGUUACUGGGCGUAAAGGGUGUGUAGGCGGUUGUUUAAGUUUGGUGUGAAAUCUCCCGGCUCAACUGGGAGGGUGCGCCGAAUACUGAGCGACUAGAGUGCGGGAGAGGAAAGUGGAAUUCCUGGUGUAGCGGUGAAAUGCGUAGAUAUCAGGAGGAACACCGGUGGUGUAGACGGCUUUCUGGACCGUAACUGACGCUGAGACGCGAAAGCGUGGGGAGCGAACAGG